CAGCUCGGAGCAGCGUUGCACUGCUGCUGCGGGGGCUUUUAAACGGCUGGGGGACGGUGCAGGGCUAGGGUUGGAAGGGGACGUUUGCUGGUUCAGCGGGAGGCGAGCGAGUUGGAUGCCACGAGGCGCUGAGGGGCAGCUGUGAGCCGAACCGGUCCGUUUCCGUUCCCGGGUGACGGGCGUAUAUUCGCUGUUAGCCGGAGGACUAAUCACCAUAGAGAGCGGCGGAUGAGCUGCGCAGAGCGGUUAGAUCGGCACUUCCGCAUUUCUGGGCGCAUGUGUUUUGCCGCUGGCGGGACUCGGCGGCAGGCAGCGGCAGUUCCGCGCGUUGGCCACGCGGUGGCAGCAGAGACCACGGCAAGAACUUUCCUGCCGGAUCGAUGCCGGGAUUCGGUGGGGAACUUUGAGAUCACAGCCUGAAGCAGUGAUGGAGCACCUGGUGAGGGGUGCAGCCCUGCCUGCACAGGUGGAAGCAAUGCAGCCGUGGGGCAGAUGGGGCUGAGCCUGGCUCCACCCCUCCCUCAUAUCAUCUUAAGGGCUGGCAGCCCCACAGGCAGGGUUUCUUCCUGGAGAUGCCUCCUGUGGAUUGCUGGGUGAGCUCUGGUUCGUGGGAAGAGGUCAGCGAUUCUUUCUUGAUGGCUGUUGGGGUUUUGGUCUCUGCCUUUCUGUGGGGAUUGUAAGCUGGUUUACAGUAGCUCCGUCAGCUCUGCU